rnacentral:rRNA from 1 species
UACGAAGGGGGCUAGCGUUGCUCGGAAUCACUGGGCGUAAAGGGUGCGUAGGCGGGUCUUUAAGUCAGGGGUGAAAUCCUGGAGCUCAACUCCAGAACUGCCUUUGAUACUGAAGAUCUUGAGUUCGGGAGAGGUGAGUGGAACUGCGAGUGUAGAGGUGAAAUUCGUAGAUAUUCGCAAGAACACCAGUGGCGAAGGCGGCUCACUGGCCCGAUACUGACGCUGAUGCGCGAAAGCGUGGGGAGCAAACGGG